rnacentral:rRNA from 1 species
AGUUAAGUGACUAAGCGUACACGGUGGAUGCCUAGGCAAUCAGAGGCGAAGAAGGACGUGCUAAUCUGCGAAAAGCUUGGAUGAGUUGAUAAGAAGCGUUUAAUCCAAGAUAUCCGAAUGGGGAAACCCGAUGGAUGAAGAAUCCAUCAUUUCAUUAUGAAUCCAUAGUAAUGAAAGGCAAACCGGGAGAACUGAAACAUCUAAGUACCCCGAGGAAAAGAAAUCAACCGAGAUUUUGUAAGUAGCGGCGAGCGAAAGCGAAAGAGCCAGUGAGUGAUAGCAGCAAAGACAGAAGAAUUGGCUGGGAAGCCAAGCGACACAGGGUGAUAGCCCCGUAUUCGAAGUUUUUGUUGUGGUACUAAGCUUGCAACAAGUAGGGCGGGACACGAGAAAUCCUGUUUGAAGAUGGGGGGACCAUCCUCCAAGGCUAAAUACUCCUGAUUGACCGAUAGUGAACCAGUACUGUGAAGGAAAGGCGAAAAGAACCCCAGUGAGGGGAGUGAAAUAGAACCUGAAACCGUGUACGUACAAGCAGUGGGAGCCCUUUGGGGUGACUGCGUACCUUUUGUAUAAUGGGUCAGCGACUUAUAUUUUGUAGCGAGGUUAACUGAAUAAGGGAGCCGAAGGGAAACCGAGUCUUAACUGGGCGGMUAGUUGCAAGGUAUAGACCCGAAACCCGGUGAUCUAGCCAUGGGCAGGUUGAAGGUUGGGUAACACUAACUGGAGGACCGAACCGACUAAUGUUGAAAAAUUAGCGGAUGACUUGUGGCUGGGGGUGAAAGGYCAAUCAAACCGGGAGAUAGCUGGUUCUCCCCGAAAUCUAUUUAGGUAGAGCCUUAUGUGAAUACCUUCGGGGGUAGAGCACUGUUUCGGCUAGGGGUCCAUCCCGGAUUACCAACCCGAUGCAAACUGCGAAUACCGAAGAGUAAUGCAUAGGAGACACACGGUGGGUGCUAACGUCCAUCGUGGAGAGGGAAACAACCCAGACCGCCAGCUAAGGUCCCAAAGUCUAUAUUAAGUGGGAAACGAAGUGGGAAGGCUUAGACAGCUAGGAUGUUGGCUUAGAAGCAGCCAUCAUUUAAAGAAAGCGUAAUAGCUCACUAGUCGAGUCGGCCUGCGCGGAAGAUGUAACGGGGCUAAAAUAUAGCACCGAAGCUGCGGCAUCAGGCGUAUCACUAAUACGCCUUACGAUUAACAACAUCGAAUGAAGUGAAACGGGAUGAGAUGUUGGUCAAGCAACCC